rnacentral:rRNA from 1 species
GUGGGGAAUAUUGGACAAUGGGCGCAAGCCUGAUCCAGCCAUGCCGCGUGAGUGAUGAAGGCCCUAGGGUUGUAAAGCUCUUUCACCGGUGAAGAUAAUGACGGUAACCGGAGAAGAAGCCCCGGCUAACUUCGUGCCAGCAGCCGCGGUAAUACGAAGGGGGCUAGCGUUGUUCGGAAUUACUGGGCGUAAAGCGCACGUAGGAGGACAUUUAAGUCAGGGGUGAAAUCCCGGGGCUCAACCCCGGAACUGCCUUUGAUACUGGGUGUCUGGAGUAUGGAAGAGGUAAGUGGAAUUCCGAGUGUAGAGGUGAAAUUCGUAGAUAUUCGGAGGAACACCAGUGGCGAAGGCGGCUUACUGGUCCAUUACUGACGCUGAGGUGCGAAAGCGUGGGGAGCAAACAGGAUUAGAAACCCGGGUAGUCC